rnacentral:rRNA from 1 species
CGGCAGCAGCAAGGAAUAUUGCGCAAUGGGCGAAAGCCUGACGCAGCGACGCCGCGUGAGGGAUGAAGGCCUUCGGGUUGUAAACCUCUUUUAUCAGGGAAGAAUAAUGACGGUACCUGAGGAAUAAGUCUCGGCUAACUACGUGCCAGCAGCCGCGGUAAUACGUAGGAGGCGAGCGUUAUCCGGAUUUACUGGGCGUAAAGAGGGUGCAGGCGGCUCUUCAAGUCGGAUGUGAAAUCUCCUGGCUUAACUGGGAGGGGUCAUUCGAAACUGCUGGGCUCGAGUGCAGCAGAGGAAAGCGGAAUUCCCGGUGUAGUGGUGAAAUGCGUAGAUAUCGGGAGGAACACCAGUGGCGAAGGCGGCUUUCUGGGCUGUAACUGACGCUGAGGCCCGUAAGCGUGGGGAGCGAACAGGAUUAGAUACCCUUGUAGUC